rnacentral:rRNA from 1 species
GGCGACCGGCGCACGGGUGAGUAACGCGUAUGCAACCUACCUAUCGAGAGGGGAAUAACCCGGCGAAAGUCGGACUAAUACCGCAUAAAACAGGGGCACCGCAUGGUGAUAUUUGUUAAAGAAAUUCGCUGAUAGAUGGGCAUGCGUUCCAUUAGGUAGUUGGUGAGGUAACGGCUCACCAAGCCGACGAUGGAUAGGGGAACUGAGAGGUUGGUCCCCCACACUGGUACUGAGACACGGACCAGACUCCUACGGGAGGCAGCAGUGAGGAAUAUUGGUCAAUGGGGCGGGAGCCUGAACCAGCCAAGUCGCGUGAAGGAAGAAGGAUCUAUGGUUCGUAAACUUCUUUUGCAGGGGAAUAAAGUGCAGGACGUGUCCUGUUUUGUAUGUACCCUGAGAAUAAGGAUCGGCUAACUCCGUGCCAGCCGCUGC